rnacentral:rRNA from 1 species
UACGUAGGGUGCAAGCGUUGUCCGGAAUUAUUGGGCGUAAAGAGCUUGUAGGCGGUUUGUCGCGUCUGCUGUGAAAUUUCGGGGCUCAACCCCGAACUUGCAGUGGGUACGGGCAGACUAGAGUGUGGUAGGGGAGACUGGAAUUCCUGGUGUAGCGGUGAAAUGCGUAGAUAUCAGGAGGAACACCGGUGGCGAAAGCGGCUCACUGGACCGUAACUGACGCUGAGGUGCGAAAGCUAGGGGAGCAAACGGG